rnacentral:ncRNA from 2 species
AUCUUAUCAAGAGCAGGCGGAGGGAAAAGCCCGAUGAAGCCCGGCAACCGACCCUUUACGGGGCACGGUGCUAAUUCUUGCUCGUUCAUUCGAAUCCUGCUUAUUUUUUGCGCGGACGAAUGAACGGAGAGAUAAGAA